CCAGAGAACUUAGCAGAGAUGCUUUGGUGCCUUCGGGAACUCUGAGACAGGUGCUGCAUGGCUGUCGUCAGCUCGUGUUGUGAAAUGUUGGGUUAAGUCCCGCAACGAGCGCAACCCUUAUCCUUUGUUGCCAGCGGUUCGGCCGGGAACUCAAAGGAGACUGCCAGUGAUAAACUGGAGGAAGGUGGGGAUGACGUCAAGUCAUCAUGGCCCUUACGAGUAGGGCUACACACGUGCUACAAUGGCAUAUACAAAGAGAAGCGACCUCGCGAGAGCAAGCGGACCUCAUAAAGUAUGUCGUAGUCCGGAUUGGAGUCUGCAACUCGACUCCAUGAAGUCGGAAUCGCUAGUAAUCGUGGAUCAGAAUGCCACGGUGAAUACGUUCCCGGGCCUUG
rnacentral:rRNA from 1 species